CCGUGCUAGACCAUAGGAUAGGAUCCUGGUCUUUCCUUACUCUGUGCCAGGCCUGUAGAAUGGGGCCUGGUCUUUCUUACUCUGUGCCAGGCCUGUAGCAUGGGGCCUGGUCUUCCUGUCAUGGACUAACUGGGUCAUCCGACAUUCACCCACAACAACAACAAUUUAUGCAAUGCGGCAUAUUCGUGAAUACUAAUGCAAUCAUCCUACUGCAUAAUCAUGAUGCAUG
rnacentral:lncRNA from 1 species